rnacentral:ncRNA from 1 species
CUACGGUGGGCGGGCCGUGGUGCUCGGGAAGCCGGUGGGAAACCGGCGCGGCCCUCGCCACUGUGACCGGGGAGUCCCCGUUCCGUCCGGCACCCGCCGGGCCACUGGUCGUACGACCGGGAAGGCAGGAACGGCGGACGCACCAGCCCCGUAAGCCAGGAGACCGGCCACGGCAGCUCACGAAGU